rnacentral:rRNA from 1 species
CCCGCUGAACUUAAGCAUAUCAAUAAGCGGAGGAAAAGAAACUAACAAGGAUUCCCCUAGUAACUGCGAGUGAAGCGGGAAAAGCUCAAAUUUGAAAUCUGGCAGCUCUCUGAACUGUCCGAGUUGUAAUCUAGAGAAGUGUUACCUGUGCUGGACCGUGUACAAGUCUCCUGGAAUGGAGCGUCACAGAGGGUGAGAAUCCCGUCUCUGACAUGGACUACCAGGGCUUUGUGGUACGCUCUCAAAGAGUCGAGUUGUUUGGGAAUGCAGCUCAAAAUGGGUGGUAAAUUCCAUCUAAAGCUAAAUAUUGGCGAGAGACCGAUAGCGAACAAGUACCGUGAGGGAAAGAUGAAAAGAACUUUGGAAAGAGAGUUAAACAGUACGUGAAAUUGCUGAAAGGGAAACGCUUGAAGUCAGUCGCGUUGGCCGGGGAUCAGCCUCGCUUUUGCGUGGUGUACUUUCUGGUUGACGGGUCAGCAUCAAUUUUGACCGCUGGAAAAAGGCUUGGGGAAUGUGGCAGCUUCGGCUGUGUUAUAGCCCCUUGUCACAUACAGCGGUUGGGAUUGAGGAACUCAGCACGCCGCAAGGCCGGGUUUCGACCACGUUCGUGCUUAGGAUGCUGGCAUAAUGGCCUUAAGCGACCCGUCUUGAAACACGG